rnacentral:rRNA from 1 species
CUGGAUUCGCUAGUAAUCGCGCAUCAGCCACGGCGCGGUGAAUACGUUCCCGGGCCUUGUACACACCGCCCGUCACACCAUGGGAGUUGGGAAUGCCCGAAGCCGGUGACCUAAACCGGAAAGGGAGGAGCCGUCGAAGGCAGGCUUGAUAACUGGGGUGAAGUCGUAACAAGGUAAC